rnacentral:rRNA from 1 species
AAUGAACGCUUGCGGCGUGCCUAACACAUGCAAGUCGUACGAGAACUCCUGUGCUUGCACAGGAUAGUAAAGUGGCGCACGGGUGAGUAACGCGUGGGUAAUCUACCCCUGGAUUCGGGAUAACACCACGAAAGAGGUGCUAAUACCGGAUAACAUCCUUUUAACUGCGGUUAUUUGGAUCAAAGGUGGCCUCUACAUGUAAGCUACUAUCUGGGGAGGAGCCCGCGUACCAUUAGCUAGUUGGUGAGGUAACGGCUCACCAAGGCUACGAUGGUUAGCUGGUCUGAGAGGAUGAUCAGCCACACUGGAACUGACACACGGUCCAGACUCCUACGGGAGGCAGCAGUGAGGAAUAUUGCGCAAUGGGGGAAACCCUGACGCAGCAACGCCGCGUGAGUGAUGAAGGCCUUUGGGUCGUAAAGCUCUGUCUGGUGGGAAGAACCAGGACUGUUCGAAUAGGGCAGUCCCCUGACCGUACCACCAAAGAAAGCACCGGCUAACUCCGUGCCAGCAGCCGCGGUAAUACGGAGGGUGCAAGCGUUAUUCGGAUUUAUUGGGCGUAAAGGGCGCGUAGGCGGCCGCUUAAGUCAGAUGUGAAAGCCCGGGGCUUAACCCCGGAAGUGCGUUUGAUACUGGGUGGCUUGAGUAUGGGAGAGGGAAGUGGAAUUCCUGGUGUAGAGGUGAAAUUCGUAGAUAUCAGGAGGAACAUCGGUGGCGAAGGCGACUUCCUGGACCAAUACUGACGCUGAGGCGCGAAGGCGUGGGUAGCAAACA